GGACGUUUAAUUUCUUGAGCUAAAGUUUUUAUUUCGUGUCAUCGAAUAUUCGAAGACUAAUUAGAAGAACUAAAUAUAAGUUAAUUAUAAAAUUAAUUGUACGGAUGGAGGCUAACGGCGAGACGAAUCUAUCAAGUCUAAUUAAUUAAUUCAUCAUUAGCAAAUGGUUACUGUAGCAGCACAUUAUCAAACCAUGGAUUAAUUAGACUUAAUAGAUUCAUCUCGUUGUUUAGCCUCCAUCUGUGUAAUGGGUUUUGUAAAUAAUUUAUAUUUAAUACUUCUAAUUAGUAUCUAAAUAUUUGAUGUGACGGGAAUAAAAAAUAAGCAACGGGAACAAACCUUAGCCAGCGAUGGAAAUUUAGGUGCCGCCUGUCGACUGUCGGCGGCGCCGAACUCAACAGUGGUUACAUGUUAGUAUUGACUUGCACUGCAUUGCUUCAAUGAUACACGUAGAGUACCCCCAGCAAUCAUGUUUGUCAACGACAUGGCAGACGAGGAGUGAGCAUGUGGUCCGUUCUACUACUCCUACUCUUGUUUAUUGAUAAAUCAGUAUUGUCGUCAGAUUUAUUCCAUCUGCAGCCGAUCGAUGUUCGGUGG
rnacentral:lncRNA from 1 species